GCGCUGAAAGACAGAGCGAGUCUAAAGUGACAAGACCUCUCCAUACCGCCAGAUAACAUCCACAACAUUAGGAGACAACAGAAACCAAAGCAAUAGCGGAAAUAAGACGAGGAAAGAAGGAAACGUCUGCUGCAGUUUAACCAGGGAUUUCCAUUGGAUCACUUUAUACCGGCACAUGUAGCGUCUUGCUCUUGAUGAUAAGCAUAUGCGCAGAAGCCGUUCUCUGACCCUACAGAGGUUGCGCUUGGAAGUGUACGAAACUUUUUUUUCUAUUUGGUUUUGCCUGUGACGUUUUGGAAUUAGAUUUAUUAAACGUCGGCUUUCCGUUAUACUGUGGAUUUUAAAGGAGGACCAAUAUAGUGUGGAUUUUCUCCGAUUUCUUUUAUUUGUUAUUCUUUUAUUUCACUGUUAUUGCUAUUAUUUAUAUUACGUUAUAUUUUGUGGAGGAGCGCUAACGUUCAAGAAGUUCCUUUUAGUGGAUUCGACGCAGGUGCUUCGGUCCUGAAGGGCAGAAUGGAAUUGUUACUUUGACCCACGUUAUCACGGUUCAUUCAUAUUCAGCAGCUUCGCUUUUAAUUGUUUUGAGAGCCAAAGACUGUUCAGUGACGCUCGCCGCAACACACCACUGGAAUUACAACCAUGAACUUUGUUGUUUAUUCGAUACAAUUAUUUUUCGCGGCUCUCCUUCAUCUGUCUGCUGUAAAGGCUGCCCACAUACCCAAAGAAGGGAUGAAGAGCAAAAAUGAGGUGAUUCCCUUCAUGGAUGUGUACAAAAAGAGUGCAUGUAAGACGCGAGAGAUGCUGGUAGACAUCAUUCAGGAGUAUCCUGAUGAGAUCGAGCACACCUACAUCCCGUCCUGUGUGGUUCUCAUGCGCUGCGCAGGCUGCUGCAACGACGAGGCGCUCGAGUGUGUCCCUACAGAGACCCGCAACGUCACCAUGGAGGUACUGCGAGUCAAACAACGUGUAUCGCAGCAUAAUUUUCAACUGAGUUUCACAGAACACACCAAGUGUGAAUGCAGGCAAAAGGUUGAAGUCAAAUCAAAGAAAGAAAAAAAACCCAGAGUGGGGAGGGUUAAAAGCCGAAAGAGAGCGAGAGAGGGAGAUUCGGGCGAUCUCAGCGCCUCGGCUCACCUGCGCUCAAGCAGUAUUUUGCUCUCAGUCAUUGGCUUUAUUUCAGGGCAGCUUGUUUGCUCUUUGUGAUCUCACUUGUCCUGUCGGCUUAAAGCCCCAGUCUGCAUUCAUUUGUACUCUAAUUCACACUGUUGGCCCACGGCCUGCAAAGAGGAAAGCAACCAAAGGUAAAUAAACAGAGGUUGCAUGGCUGUCUCUGUCAUUAUCGUACUAAUGUGCUGCCACAGCUGGGAUGACGCCAUGCUCAUGUGAUCCCUCACCUGUAUUUCGGCCCCUUUGAUGUUUCUGAGAAAAGCAGUUGAAUUUCUUUCCUGUAGAUGGGCUUGUCUUGACUGCACUGAAAACAGUGAAAUGACUGUGUGCAUUUUUAUUAUUGGUCUAAUUGAAAAUCUGGUUUAAUCCUCUUUUGUUCAGUUUAAGGCAAAUAACACUCCUUAUUGAAAAAUAAAAUUAAUUUAAAAAAUAAAUAAAUAAAAAUAGUCUUUUGUGUGUGUUGAUGUGCAGAACACAUACUAUUUUUUAAAUUUAUUUUAUUAUUCUUUUGUGCAUAAAAGAAAAAUAUGAUGCAUAUUUUAAAACAACAUCACUAUAAAAAUUAAGGUCUUUCAAAGUUGCCUUUAUAUUAACCAAACUAAAUGAAACAUUGACUAACAAAAUGUAUUUAGUUUUACUGUAAGUGAAUAUUUUACUUUCAUAUUACAGCUGUUUUUUUUUUUGUUUUGUUUGUUUUUUUGUUUAUUAUGUUUUUAUUAUAUUGACCUACAUUAAAUAACAUUUUGGCUUAUGUCUAAAUAAAAUAUAUUGAUUAAGUAUGGUAUGGUCAUUAUAAUAAAUACACUUUUUACUUUAAGGUUUUUGUCUUUGGGAAGAUAAUCAUAUUAAACCAAAAUGUAAGGUUUGAACCAAACCAAAAACAAAUACAUUUUACUUUUUUUGGUUUUUCCAGUGUAGGUGCAAUUACACAAUUAAAAAAGUCAAAUUUUAGAACAGAUAAUGUGUUUAUGAAACUGUUUUAUUUCAAAACCGUUCAAAAUAUGUGCUUUUGUGUCAAGUUUCUGUGUUGAACAAUUCACUUUAGCAGACAUUGCUUUUGCUUCAUACUGCUUUCAUUCGUGUAUGUGAAUGUGUGUAUGUGAAUGUACUUGUCUGUCAGUCCAAUAACUGUUCCUGUCUGAUUUCAAUGUUGCAGCUAUUCCUUGUGUCUCAUGUGUGCUCACUGAUGGAUGAAUGAAUGAAGUCAGUAUUCGCUCUCAUCACACACAAUCUGCCACUAAUGCUACCUAUCUUCAAAACAAAGCAAAAAAUGACCCAAAUUUGUGCAAUGAAUGGAGGUGGUGAGUGAUGGCGAGGUGCAUGAGUGUGUGUGUUUGUUUGUGUGUGUGUGUGUGUCUCCAGCUCUCUGCCCAAAUCACUAGUGCUUAGAUGUGUCUCUGUCUCUCCCUUCUGCUUCCCUUGCAGCCACUGUGAGCCUUGCUCAGAGAGAAGAAAGCGCUUGUAUGUGCAGGACCCCCUCACCUGUAAAUGCUCCUGCAAAUUCACACAAUUGCAAUGCAAGUCCAGACAACUUGAGUUAAACGAAAGAACUUGCAGAUGUGAAAAGCCAAG